GCUAAUACCGCAUAUUCUGUGCGCAGGAAAGCAGGGGAUCGCAAGACCUUGCGCUGAUUGAGCGGCCGAUAUCGGAUUAGCUAGCUGGUGAGGUAAAAGCUCACCAAGGCGACGAUCUGUAGCGGGUCUGAGAGGAUGAUCCGCCACACUGGAACUGAGACACGGUCCAGACUCCUACGGGAGGCAGCAGUGGGGAAUUUUGGACAAUGGGGGCAACCCUGAUCCAGCCAUGCCGCGUGAGUGAAGAAGGCCUUCGGGUUGUAAAGCUCUUUCAGCCGGGAAGAAAAUGCAUGGGUUAAUACCCUGUGCAGAUGACGGUACCGGAAUAAGAAGCACCGGCUAACUACGUGCCAGCAGCCGCGGUAGUACGUAGGGUGCGAGCGUUAAUCGGAAUUACUGGGCGUAAAGCGUGCGCAGGCGGUUUUGUAAGACAGGCGUGAAAUCCCCGGGCUUAACCUGGGAACUGCGUUUGUGACUGCAAGGCUAGAGUACGGCAGAGGGGGGUGGAAUUCCACGUGUAGCAGUGAAAUGCGUAGAGAUGUGGAGGAACACCAAUGGCGAAGGCAGCCCCCUGGGUCGAUACUGACGCUCAUGCACGAAAGCGUGGGUAGCAAACAGGAUUAGAUACCCUGGUAGUCCACGCCCUAAACGAUGUCAACUAGGUGUUGGGAGGGUAAAACCUUUUAGUACCGUAGCUAACGCGAGAAGUUGACCGCCUGGGGAGUACGGCCGCAAGGUUAAAACUCAAAGGAAUUGACGGGGACCCGCACAAGCGGUGGAUGAUGUGGAUUAAUUCGAUGCAACGCGAAAAACCUUACCUACCCUUGACAUGUCAGGAACUUUCCAGAGAUGGAUUGGUGCUCGAAAGAGAACCUGAACACAGGUGCUGCAUGGCUGUCGUCAGCUCGUGUCGUGAGAUGUUGGGUUAAGUCCCGCAACGAGCGCAACCCUUGUCGUUAAUUGCCAUCAUUCAGUUGGGCACUUUAACGAGACUGCCGGUGACAAACCGGAGGAAGGUGGGGAUGACGUCAAGUCCUCAUGGCCCUUAUGGGUAGGGCUUCACACGUCAUACAAUGGUCGGUACAAAGGGUCGCCAACCCGCGAGGGGGAGCCAAUCCCAUAAAGCCGAUCGUAGUCCGGAUUGUAGGCUGCAACUCGCCUGCAUGAAGUCGGAAUCGCUAGUAAUCGUGGAUCAGCAUGUCACGGUGAAUACGUUCCCGGGUCUUGUACACACCGCCCGUCACACCAUGGGAGCGGGUUCCGCCAGAAGUAGGUAGCCUAACCGCAAGGGGGGCACUUACCACGGCGGGGUUCGUGACUGGGGUGAAGUCGUAACAAGGUA
rnacentral:rRNA from 1 species